GGGACCCGUCUUGAAACACGGACCAAGGAGUCUAGCAUGUGCGCGAGUCAUUGGGACUCUAACGAAACCUAAAGGCGUAAUGAAAGUGAAGGUUCGCCUAGCGCGAACCGAGGGAGGAUGGACGGUCUAUCGUGGCCGUCCGGCACUCCCUGGGCGUCUCGUUCUCAUCGCGAGAAGAGGCGCACCAAGAGCGUACACGCUGGGACCCGAAAGAUGGUGAACUAUGCCUGGUCAGGACGAAGUCAGGGGAAACCCUGAUGGAGGUCCGUAGCGAUUCUGACGUGCAAAUCGAUCGUCGGAACUGGGUAUAGGGGCGAAAGACUAAUCGAACCAUCUAGUAGCUGGUUCCCUCCGAAGUUUCCCUCAGGAUAGCUGGCGCUCGCUUCUCGCGAGUCUCAUUCGGUAAAGCGAAUGAUUAGAGGCAUUGGGGUCGAAACGGCCUCAACCUAUUCUCAAACUUUAAAUGGGUGAGAUCUCCGGCUUGCUUGAACUGUGAAGCCGCGAGAUAUCGGAUCAGAGUGCCAAGUGGGCCACUUUUGGUAAGCAGAACUGGCGCUGUGGGAUGAACCAAACGCCGAGUUAAAGCGCCUAAAUCGACGCUUAUGGGAUACCAUGAAAGGCGUUGGUAACUUAAGACAGCAGGACGGUGGCCAUGGAAGUCGGAAUCCGCUAAGGAGUGUGUAAA
rnacentral:rRNA from 3 species